rnacentral:misc_RNA from 1 species
UCACAUCUUACGAUGGCAGUCCCGCCAGAGUCCUCAGCUUUAACUGUUAGUAACUGGCGGCGAGGGUUGCGCUCGUUAUGGCACUUAAGCCGACACCUCACGGCACGAGCUGACGACAACCAUGCAGCACCUUCACAAAGGUCCGAAGACUAACCUGUUUCCAGAUUAUUCCUUUGCAAUUUAAGCCCGGGUAAGGUUCCUCGCGUAUCAUCGAAUUAAACCACAUGUUCCUCCGCUUGUGCGGGCCCCCGUCAAUUCCUUUGAGUUUCACCGUUGCCGGCGUACUCCCCAGGUGGGAUACUUAACGCUUUCGCUAAGCCGCUGACAGUAUAUCGCCAACAGCGAGUAUCCAUCGUUUACCGUGUGGACUAC